GGAGCCGUCGCCUAGUCUGGCCUAUGGCGCGGUCUUGGAGUGGCCGUGGGGUCUUCGACCCUCGAGAGUUCGAAUCUCUCCGGCUCCG
rnacentral:tRNA from 1 species